rnacentral:tRNA from 1 species
CGGCGUGUAGCGCAGCCCGGUUAGCGCACUACUUUGGGGUAGUAGGGGUCGGCAGUUCGAAUCUGCCCACGCCGA